AGUGGCAAAGUGAGGGAGGGAAGGGGUGACUAGUGACAGAAUGAGGGGAUGACUGGUGACAGAGUGAGGGGGGGGUGAAUGUCACUAGUCACCCCAUCCCUCUCUCUGUCACUAGUCACUCCCUCCCUAACUCUGUCACUGUGUCACCCGCUCCCUCACUCUGUCACUAGUCACCCCCUUACUCUGUCACUGUGUCACCCCCUCCCUCUCUCUGUCACU